rnacentral:misc_RNA from 1 species
GGUAGUAAAAGUCGUAACAAGGUCUCCGUUGGUGAACCAGCGGAGGGAUCAUUACAGAGUUGCAAAACUCCCAAACCAUUGUGAACGUUACCUAUCCCGUUGCUUCGGCGGGCGGCCCGGGCCCCGCGCCCGGCGCCCCCCGGCCCCCCGUGGGCGCCCGCCGGAGGUAAACCAAACCCUUGAAUUGCAUGGCCUCUCUGAGUCUUCUGUACUGAAUAAGUCAAAACUUUCAACAACGGAUCUCUUGGUUCUG